rnacentral:rRNA from 1 species
CCUACGGGUGGCUGCAGUGGGGAAUAUUGGACAAUGGGGGGAACCCUGAUCCAGCCAUGCCGCGUGUGUGAAGAAGGCCCUCGGGUUGUAAAGCACUUUCAGUGAGGAAGAACGCCUGGUGGUUAAUACCCAUCAGGAAAGACAUCACUCACAGAAGAAGCACCGGCUAACUCCGUGCCAGCAGCCGCGGUAAUACGGAGGGUGCGAGCGUUAAUCGGAAUUACUGGGCGUAAAGCGCGCGUAGGUGGCUUGAUAAGCUGGUUGUGAAAGCCCCGGGCUCAACCUGGGAACGGCAUCCGGAACUGUCAAGCUAGAGUGCAGGAGAGGAAGGUAGAAUUCCCGGUGUAGCGGUGAAAGGCGUAGAGAUCGGGAGGAAUACCAGUGGCGAAGGCGGCCUUCUGGACUGACACUGACACUGAGGUGCGAAAGCGUGGGUAGCAAACAGGAUUAGAUACCCGUGUAGUC